rnacentral:tRNA from 2 species
GAAGAAGAUAGCUCAGCGGGAGAGCAUCCUGAUUAUUCAGGAGGGGCGACGUGGUUCAACUCCACUCUCUUCU